rnacentral:lncRNA from 1 species
UGUUUAUAGUUUCUAAAAUUUUAUUGGUUUCAUUGAAAUUGAAAACAUAAGCGUUGAUUACUAUAAUUCUAGCUAUAGGUUGUGGGUAACCAUUACCACUCUAUUUAACAAACUUCUCAACUUAACCAAAAUUUACGAAUAGCAGCGAAAAGACUUUUUUUUCAAAAGUAGGCUCGGUUGUGGUCUUUAUCUUUAGCUUGUAGAUUAUACUUGGUGCAAAAUGCCUAGUUCAGGUUGGAGGGGGGGCACACGCCCCUCCCAUGUCAAUAAGCACACCACCAAUAAAUGAAAUUCUUGUAGCAAAAAAAUUUUUUAUGUU